rnacentral:lncRNA from 1 species
UUAAAAAGAAUCAUAAAACUGCUCUUAAAGGAUAGUGCAGAGGGUGGUAGUGGAGGAGACCUAUUUAGACAGGGCAGCAAGGAUUACCUCUCAAGAAACCAUAUGUAAUGAAUGAGCAGGAGUCAGCUGUGCUAAGUUCUUGGGGAGAGUUAGGGAUGGGAGUUCCUCUAGGGUCCAGGCAGUGGGAACAGUAUGUAUAAGGUUUAUGUGAACAGCAUCCAAUAAACAUUUGAGUGGUUUUAACCAAGAAUAUUUUCAUUCUUUGUGCAGGGCACUGAGUUAAAGUCUGUCUUAUAAACAGGAUAAAUGCCUCCUUCACUGAAAACUGAGGCUUAAUUGAUCAAUCUUGGAAAAAACCCCUUGGAUAGAAGGAAGUAUCAGUUCUGCACAGCAGUCUCCUUUCCCUUGGGGAUAUUGUAUGAUAACAUUGGUGAGAACAUAUUUGACACUUUAUUUGUAAAAGGU